rnacentral:rRNA from 1 species
AUUGAACGCUGGCGGCAGGCUUAACACAUGCGAGUCGAGCGGGGUGAUGGUGCUUGCACUAUCACUUAGCGGCGGACGGGUGAGUAAUGCUUAGGAAUCUGCCUAUUAGUGGGGGACAACAUCUCGAAAGGGAUGCUAAUACCGCAUACGUCCUACGGGAGAAAGCAGGGGAUCACUUGUGACCUUGCGCUAAUAGAUGAGCCUAAGUCGGAUUAGCUAGUUGGUGGGGUAAAGGCCUACCAAGGCGACGAUCUGUAGCGGAUCUGAGAGGAUGAUCCGCCACACUGGGACUGCGACACGGCCCAGACUCCUACGGGAGGCAGAAGUGGGGAAUAUUGGACAAUGGGGGGAACCCUGAUCCAGCCAUGCCGCGUGUGUGAAGAAGGCCUUAUGGUUGUAAAGCACUUUAAGCGAGGAGGAGGCUCUUUUGGUUAAUACCCAAGAUGAGUGGACGUUACUCGCAGAAUAAGCACCGGCUAACUCUGUGCCAGCCGCCGUAAGAC